GACGAACGCUGGCGGCGUGCCUAAUACAUGCAAGUCGAACGCAGUGGGGACGGGUGCGUAACACGUGGGUAACCUCCCAUCAGAGGGGAUAAAACUUGGACACAGGUGCUAAACCGAUACUGAUGGAUGGACCCGGUGUGCAUUAGCUAGUUGGUGAGGUAACGGCUCACCAAGGCCACGAGGCAUAGCUGACCUGAGAGGGUGACCGGCCACACUGGAACUGAGACACGGCCCAGACUCCUACGGGAGGCAGCAGUAGGGAAUCUUCGGCAAUGGACGAAAGUCUGACCCAGCAACGCCGCGUGAAUGAAGAAGGUUUUCGGAUUGUAAAGCUCUGUUGUUAGGGAAGCGUUAUCUACCGAGGAAGCAACGGCUAACUCCGUGCCAGCAGCCGCGGUAAUAC
rnacentral:rRNA from 1 species